GUGACUGCGUACCUUUUGUAUAAUGGGUCAGCGACUUAUAUUCUGUAGCAAGGUUAACCGAAUAGGGGAGCCGGAGGGAAACCGAGUCUUAAUUGGGCGUUAAGUUGCAGGGUAUAGACCCGAAACCCGGUGAUCUAGCCAUGGGCAGGUUGAAGGUUGGGUAACACUAACUGGAGGACCGAACCGACUAAUGUUGAAAAAUUAGCGGAUGACCUGUGGCUGGGGGUGAAAGGCCAAUCAAACCGGGAGAUAGCUGGUUCUCCCCGAAAGCUAUUUAGGUAGCGCCUCGUGAAUUCAUCUCCGGGGGUAGAGCACUGUUUCGGCUAGGGGGCCAUCCCGGCUUACCAACCCGAUGCAAACUGCGAAUACCGGAGAAUGUUAUCACGGGAGACACACGGCGGGUGCUAACGUCCGUCGUGAAGAGGGAAACAACCCAGACCGCCAGCUAAGGUCCCAAAGUCAUGGUUAAGUGGGAAACGAUGUGGGAAGGCCCAGACAGCCAGGAUGUUGGCUUAGAAGCAGCCAUCAUUUAAAGAAAGCGUAAUAGCUCACUGGUCGAGUCGGCCUGCGCGGAAGAUGUAACGGGGCUAAACCAUGCACCGAAGCUGCGGCAGCGACACUCAGGUGUUGUUGGGUAGGGGAGCGUUCUGUAAGCCUGUGAAGGUGGCCUGUGAGGGUUGCUGGAGGUAUCAGAAGUGCGAAUGCUGACAUAAGUAACGAUAAAGCGGGUGAAAAGCCCGCUCGCCGGAAGACCAAGGGUUCCUGUCCAACGUUAAUCGGGGCAGGGUGAGUCGACCCCUAAGGCGAGGCCGAAAGGCGUAGUCGAUGGGAAACGGGUUAAUAUUCCCGUACUUGGUGUUACUGCGAAGGGGGGACGGAGAAGGCUAUGUUGGCCGGGCGACGGUUGUCCCGGUUUAAGCGUGUAGGUGUGUGUUCCAGGUAAAUCCGGUUCACUUUAACACUGAGGCGUGAUGACGAGGCACUACGGUGCUGAAGCAACAAAUGCCCUGCUUCCAGGAAAAGCCUCUAAGCAUCAGGUAACAUCAAAUCGUACCCCAAACCGACACAGGUGGUCAGGUAGAGAAUACCAAGGCGCUUGAGAGAACUCGGGUGAAGGAACUAGGCAAAAUGGUGCCGUAACUUCGGGAGAAGGCACGCUGACACGUAGGUGAAGUGAUUUACUCAUGGAGCUGAAGUCAGUCGAAGAUACCAGCUGGCUGCAACUGUUUAUUAAAAACACAGCACUGUGCAAACACGAAAGUGGACGUAUACGGUGUGACGCCUGCCCGGUGCCGGAAGGUUAAUUGAUGGGGUCAGCGCAAGCGAAGCUCCUGAUCGAAGCCCCGGUAAACGGCGGCCGUAACUAUAACGGUCCUAAGGUAGCGAAAUUCCUUGUCGGGUAAGUUCCGACCUGCACGAAUGGCGUAAUGAUGGCCAGGCUGUCUCCACCCGAGACUCAGUGAAAUUGAACUCGCUGUGAAGAUGCAGUGUACCCGCGGCAAGACGGAAAGACCCCGUGAACCUUUACUAUAGCUUGACACUGAACAUUGAGCCUUGAUGUGUAGGAUAGGUGGGAGGCUUUGAAGUGUGGACGCCAGUCUGCAUGGAGCCGACCUUGAAAUACCACCCUUUAAUGUUUGAUGUUCUAACGUGGACCCGUAAUCCGGGUUGCGGACAGUGUCUGGUGGGUAGUUUGACUGGGGCGGUCUCCUCCUAAAGAGUAACGGAGGAGCACGAAGGUUGGCUAAUCCUGGUCGGACAUCAGGAGGUUAGUGCAAUGGCAUAAGC
rnacentral:rRNA from 1 species